GGGCCGAUAACUCAGCGGCAGAGCACCCUACUCUUUCUAGGGAGACGGAGCGUUCGAAUCCUCCUCGGCCCA
rnacentral:tRNA from 1 species